rnacentral:rRNA from 1 species
AUUGAACGCUGGCGGCAGGCUUAACACAUGCAAGUCGAGCGGAGAGAGGUAGCUUGCUACUGAUCUUAGCGGCGGACGGGUGAGUAAUGCUUAGGAAUCUGCCUAUUAGUGGGGGACAACAUUUCGAAAGGAAUGCUAAUACCGCAUACGUCCUACGGGAGAAAGCAGGGGAUCUUCGGGCCUUGCGCUAAUAGAUGAGCCUAAGUCGGAUUAGCUAGUUGGCGGGGUAAAGGCCUACCAAGGCGACGAUCUGUAGCGGGUCUGAGAGGAUGAUCCGCCACACUGGGACUGAGACACGGCCCAGACUCCUACGGGAGGCAGCAGUGGGGAAUAUUGGACAAUGGGCGGAAGCCUGAUCCAGCCAUGCCGCGUGUGUGAAGAAGGCCUUAUGGUUGUAAAGCACUUUAAGCGAGGAGGAGGCUACUUUAGUUAAUACCUAGAGAUAGUGGACGUUACUCGCAGAAUAAGCACCGGCUAACUCUGUGCCAGCAGCCGCCGUAA